rnacentral:tRNA from 1 species
GCAGUCGUGGUCGAGUGGUUAAAGGCGUUGGACUUGAAAUCCAUUGGGAUAUUCCCGCGUAGGUUCGAAUCCUACCGGCUGCG